UGCAACAGGAGGCAUACAUUCCAACAGUAGCAUUCUGGGACAAAGAAGAUAACUUCAACUGCUGAUACUAUAAAGUUGGAGAACUUCUCAAUAGAUAUAAUAUAAACUCAUAAUCCAGCUACAUUCGAUACACAAAAUGGAUACAUACAACCGUUUUAUUGGCGCUGAAAAGCUCCAAAAACUACAACGGAAGCGUUGGGAGAGAGCAGUAGUCCGGUGGGAGGUCGAAUUCACCAGAAACACAAUGCUUCCAACAAAACUUGAAUCCACCAGUACACAAUGUUCCUAGAGUCCUCUAAAGUUCAUCCUUUGCUGAAUCGACUUUGGCAGAGUCUGACUGAGCAGGCUUGCCACGAUUCUUCUCGAUGAAUUCGAUGAUAGCCUCUUUUGUUCUCUCACCAUUGUACUGUGACAAGUUACCAGAGGCGGAUCUGAAGUACAUAGUAGGGAAUCCCUGAACAUCAAAGUCACCUUUCGGGAGAUCAUUUGCGGUUGCGUCCAGUUUUGCAAUGAGAACAUCAGGAUCGCUUUCAAAUGAUACAGCCACUUCAUCCAAAAUUGGAGCCAGACUCUUGCAGUGGCCACACCAAGGUGCAUAGAACUCUAACAGCACAUUUUUUCCCGAUUUGUAAACCAUAUCCUGGAGGGUAUCCCUAACAACCACCUUAACAGGUUCGUCAUUGACUUCAGGGAUGGGCUCUGACUUCACAUGUGGCUUCAGUUUUCCUUCCUUGUAAUCCUUCAAGUAAGCAGCAAUGGCAUCAGGUUCCACAUGGUCCUUAAUAUACUUUUGUUCAUCAGCGUCCAUUAUGAUGAUCACAGGUGCCUGUUCCGGCUUCAGUCCGAAGUACUCAAAAGCACCUUGACCAGCCUCAACAUCACCCAAGAGAAAGCUCACCCCAUCCCCUUUGUAAAUCACAGCAACAUCGUUGUACUUGGACUUAAAAGCAUCAAAUUCAGAGCUAAAGUUCACAAAUAGCAAUGCCUUGGCGUUGGUGCCUUCGAAGAACUUGUUAACAUAAGGAUGGUUGUUUGGGUCAUUGUCAAAAAUAGUAACAACAGGAAUACUAGAUUCUGAGAUGAACUUCUCCAUUGCAUCGACAUCAAAGUCCUCAAAAUCAACAAAGAGUUCAUCAAA
rnacentral:misc_RNA from 1 species